ACACGGAGGGCGCAAGCGUUGCUCGGAAUCACUGGGCGUAAAGCGGGUGUAGGCGGCCUAGCAAGUCAGAUGUGAAAGCCCACGGCUCAACCGUGGAAGUGCAUCUGAAACUGCUAGACUUGAGUGCCGGAGAGGGAAGUGGAAUUCCUGGUGUGGGGGUGAAAUCCGUAGAUAUCAGGAGGAACACCGGUGGCGAAGGCGACUUCCUGGACGGCCACUGACGCUGAGACCCGAAAGCGUGGGGAGCAAACAGGAGUAGAAACCCUAGUAGUCC
rnacentral:rRNA from 1 species